AUAACCUUUAGCCAAACCAGUAUUAAAGGCAACGCCUGCCCAGUGAAUAAUUCAACGGCCGCGGUACCCUAACCGUGCAAAGGUAGCAUAAUCAUUUGUCUACUAAUUAUAGACCUGCAUGAAAGGCAAAAUGAGGGCCCAACUGUCUCUUAUAAUAAAUCAACUAAACUGAUCUUCUAGUAAAAAAGCUAGAAUUCCAACAUAAGACCAGAAGACCCUGUGAAGCUUAAACAAAACCAUUAAAACAAAUAAUGACUACUUUAGGUUGGGGCGACCUUGGAAAAAAAAAGAACUUCCAAAAUAUAUGAUUACACCAUACCACACAUAAACAGGCCAACAAGCCACUAAACGACCCAGCUUCGGACUGACUAUUGAACCAAGUUACUCCAGGGAUAACAGCGCAAUCUUCUUCAAGAGCCCAUAUCAAAAAGAAGGUUUACGACCUCGAUGUUGGAUCAGGACGUCCUAAUGGAC
rnacentral:rRNA from 1 species